rnacentral:rRNA from 1 species
GAUGAACGCUGGCGGCGUGCUUAACACAUGCAAGUCGAACGGAAAGGCCCAAGCUUGCUUGGGUACUCGAGUGGCGAACGGGUGAGUAACACGUGGGUGAUCUGCCCUGCACUUCGGGAUAAGCCUGGGAAACUGGGUCUAAUACCGGAUAGGACCACAUUUUGGAUGGUGUGGUGGAAAGUUGUUCGGUGUGGGAUGAGCUCGCGGCCUAUCAGCUUGUUGGUGGGGUAAUGGCCUACCAAGGCGUCGACGGGUAGCCGGCCUGAGAGGGUGUACGGCCACAUUGGGACUGAGAUACGGCCCAGACUCCUACGGGAGGCAGCAGUGGGGAAUAUUGCACAAUGGGCGCAAGCCUGAUGCAGCGACGCCGCGUGGGGGAUGACGGCCUUCGGGUUGUAAACUCCUUUCGCUAGGGACGAAGCGCAAGUGACGGUACCUGGAGAAGAAGCACCGGCUAACUACGUG